CCGAGGCGAAAGCGCUCGCUGGAUCGCAACUGACGCUGAGAGACGAAAGCUAGGGGAGCAAACAGGAUUAGAUACCCUGGUAGUCCUAGCCCUAAACGAUCAUGACUGGGCGUGGGCCCUGUACGGGGCUCGUGCCGGAGCUAACGCGUUAAGUCAUGCGCCUGGGGAGUACGUUCGCAAGGCUGAAACUCAAAGGAAUUGACGGGGGCCCGCACAAGCGGUGAAACAUGUGUUUCAAUUCGACGCAACGCGAAGAACCUUACUUGGGCUUGAACCGCACAGGACCAGCUUGAGAAAUCAGGCCUUCCCGCAAGGGACCUGUGUAGAGGUGCUGCAUGGCUGUCGUCAGCUCGUGCCGUGAGGUGUUGGGUUAAGUCCCGCAACGAGCGCAACCCUUACUCGUAGUUGCCACCCGCAAGGGGGAACUCUACGAGGACUGCUCCGGAUAACGGAGAGGAAGGUGGGGAUGAGGUCAAGUCAGCAUGGCCUUUAUGUCCAGGGCUACACACGUGUUACAAUGCGCGCCACAAAGCGUCGCGAACCCGCGAGGGGGAGCUAAUCGCAAAAAAGCGCGCUCAGUUCGGAUUGCAGUCUGCAACUCGACUGCAUGAAGCUGGAAUCGCUAGUAAUGGCGCAUCAGAUCGGCGCCGUGAAUACGUUCCCGGGCCUUGUACACACCGCCCGUCACAUCACGAAAGUGGGCUGUACUAGAAGUCGUCGCGCUAACCGCAAGGAAGCAGACGCCCAAG
rnacentral:rRNA from 1 species